rnacentral:rRNA from 1 species
ACGGGGGGGGUAAGCGUUGUUCGGAAUUACUGGGCGUAAAGGGUUUGUAGGUGGCUUGCUAAGUCAGACGUGAAAUCCCUCAGCUUAACUGAGGAACUGCGUCUGAGACUGGCGAGCUUGAGUGCAGGAGAGGAACGCGGAAUUCCAGGUGUAGCGGUGAAAUGCGUAGAUAUCUGGAGGAACACCGGUGGCGAAGGCGGCGUUCUGGACUGCAACUGACACUGUAAAACGAAAGCCAGGGGAGCAAACGGGA